AACCUAGUAGCUGGUUCCUUCCG
rnacentral:misc_RNA from 1 species